UGUGACCCCAUACGCGUACGUGAGUUUCUAAUCGAACAAGAGGUUACGUCACAUCGGAAGUCAACGUUAUACCGGAAGUGAUUGCGGAAAACAGAACUUUACAUUCUAUCGCCGAGAAGUUACUACUGCAGUUUAUGGAACAUUGAACAAUUACUGUUACAAGGAAUGUCAUACAUCACCGGGAAUACUACGUUCUUUGUAACAACAGGACGGAAUUGAUAUUGAGAACCCCUGUCACAUUGAUAGAGGUGUCUGACUGAAGUUGUCUAUGAAUAAAACGUGAAAAGAA